CUCUUAUCAAGAAAGACUGAGGGAUGGGCCCUUUGAAGUCUUGGCAACCUUCCACCUCCCUGGGGAAUAGGUGCCAACUCCCACUUGGAGAACGUAAUGUGUAAAGCAUUAUUUAUCCGAGACAGAUAAGCG
rnacentral:ncRNA from 3 species